rfam:Hapalosiphon sp. MRB220 contig_11, whole genome shotgun sequence.
GCCGGGAUAGCUCAGUUGGUAGAGCAGAGGACUGAAAAUCCUCGUGUCACCGGUUCAAGUCCGGUUCCUGGCA